UGGAUUAGGCAUGCAAGUCGAACGGGCACUUAGUUUUUUCGAGUGUCAGUGGCGAAAAGGGUGAGUAACACGUGGGUAACCUGCCCUAGGGAUCGGGAUAACCUGCCGAAAGGCGGGCUAAUACCGGAUACGUUCCGUCAUGAUUCAUGGCGGAGGAAAGAUAGGGACCUCGCAAGAGGCCUGUCACCCCUGGAUGGGCCCGCGUCCUAUCAGCUAGUUGGUGAGGUAACGGCUCACCAAGGCUAAGACGGGUAGCUGGUCUGAGAGGAUGGUCAGCCACACUGGGACUGAGACACUGCCCAGACUCCUACGGGAGGCUGCAGUCGAGAAUCUUUCGCAAUGGGGGCAACCCUACGAAGCACGCCGCGUGCAGGACGAAGGCCUNC
rnacentral:rRNA from 1 species